AGUGAACGCUGGCGGUAGGCCUAACACAUGCAAGUCGAACGGCAGCACAGUAAGAGCUUGCUCUUACGGGUGGCGAGUGGCGGACGGGUGAGGAAUACAUCGGAAUCUACUUUUUCGUGGGGGAUAACGUAGGGAAACUUACGCUAAUACCGCAUACGACCUACGGGUGAAAGCAGGGGAUCUUCGGACCUUGCGCGAUUGAAUGAGCCGAUGUCGGAUUAGCUAGUUGGCGGGGUAAAGGCCCACCAAGGCGACGCUCCGUAGCUGGUCUGAGAGGAUGAUCAGCCACACGGGAACUGAGACACGGUCCAGAAUCCUACGGGAGGCAGCAGUGGGAAAUAUUGGACAAGGGGCGCAAGCCUGAUCCAGCCAUACCGCGUGGGUGAAGAAGGCCUUCGGGUUGUAAAGCCCUUUUGUUGGGAAAGAAAAGCAGCAGGUUAAUACCCCGCUGUUCGGACGGUACCCAAAGAAUAAGCACCGGCUAACUUCGU
rnacentral:rRNA from 1 species